rnacentral:rRNA from 1 species
ACGGGAGGCAGCAGUGGGGGAUAUUGCACGAUGGGGGAAACCCUGAUGCAGCAAUGCCGCGUGAGGGAAGACGGUCUUCGGAUUGUAAACCUAAGUAGUCAGGGACGAAACAAAUGACGUUACCUGAAGAGUAAGCUCCGGCUAACUACGUGCCAGCAGCCGCGGUAAUACGUAGGGAGCGAGCGUUGUCCGGAUUUACUGGGUGUAAAGGGUGCGUAGGCGGGUCUGCAAGUCAGGCGUGAAAUACCGGGGCUUAACUCCGGAGCUGCGCUUGAAACUGUGGAUCUUGAGUGAAGUAGUGGCAGGCGGAAUUCCCAGUGUAGCGGUGAAAUGCGUAGAUAUUGGGAGGAACACCAGUGGCGAAGGCGGCCUGCUGGGCUUUAACUGACGCUGAGGCACGAAAGUAUGGGGAGCAAACAGGAUUAGAUACCCCGGUA